GGUAUAUCACGUUGAAACACCAGUACCCAUACGAUCAGCGAAGUUAAGCAACGUCGAGUCUUGUUAAUACCAAGAUAGGUGACAACUUGAGAAUAACAGAUGCUGCAAG